rnacentral:rRNA from 1 species
UACGGGGGGAGCAAGCGUUGUUCGGAUUUACUGGGCGUAAAGGGCGCGUAGGCGGCCACUGCAAGUCGGUUGUGAAAUCUCCGGGCUUAACCCGGAAAGGUCAAUCGAUACUGCAGGGCUAGAGUGCGGAAGGGGCAACUGGAAUUCUCGGUGUAGCGGUGAAAUUCGUAGAUAUCGGGAGGAACACCGGUGGCGAAGGCGGCGACCUGGGUAGAUACUGACGCUGAGGUGCGAAAGCGUGGGGAGCAAACAGG